UUGGCAAAGGAUCUUAAAGUGUUCUUUGAAAUAGGUCUGUUUUAUUUCCACACUCACAGCUGCUCGUAAGUCUCAAUCUCUGAACUGACUCUGCUGCUUUCGUAAUUAAAUACGAUAUAUCACCUUAUCUUCUCCCUCUGGAUAUCACUCAGCUUUGAAUGCUCUGUUAUGCAACUUAGUCUGCUCAUAGAUGGGUGACUAUGGGCGACACGGGCCCGUCCGGGUUGAAUGCGUUUCACUUGCUGGAAAGCAACUGGGAACAAUUUCCUAUUCGAGGGUUACCCACUGUCAUUUUGCAUCAGGCAGAAGCAGGCGACUCUCCCUGCUGGACAUCCCGAGGGUAAAUGAAACUAGUCCACCCUGAAGAGUGAAUAUUGCACAGGGGCCUGUGCAGCGUUUCCAUUCGGCACAGUAUACGUUUUAAUGUAUUUAUAAAGGAGACCGAAGCAUCAGGCUGCGUGAGUAAGGAGCGUACAUCACCGUAAAGGAGAAGACUCAUUUUCAGCAUCGCUCCGUCAGCAGCAGGGGAAGAAAACCAUGAAACAAGGCUGCUUUCGGACACGUUCGUUGCCUUUUGCGCACCUCUCCGUGGGCAGCCGACGCUUUCCAGCGUUAGGCAGGUCAGAAGGACUGAAAGCGUCUAUUCACCCCCUCCCGCCACCUUCCCCUGCAAAUCUGCCCCCAAGGAAAGGAGUCGAGGGAGGAGAUUUCUCGAAGUGUGUGGGCGCAUUUCGCAUGCAGUGGAGCAGAAGGACCAUCGCAAAAGUUUAAAAACCGGAGGCCAGAGGAGAGCCUGGCAAGAAGCGUGAAGCUUAGGGAUGAAAUUGAAACUGCUGAACAAAAUCAGUGACCCCCCUCCGCAAGCCACCCGAAUCAGCCCUCCAGCCGGCUCGAGCUGUUUGGUCAAAAACUAUCAGCUGAGGUAGGACCGUCACAUAGGAAGAUGAUGAACUCCAGCACCUUAUAAAUCUGAAACUAAAGCAGUACCGAAAAAAGAGAAAGUGCGGUGAACGUCCUUUUAGUGCCUCUUUCUGUUCUUCAGGGAUGAAAUUCUCUCUUCUCUACCAUUUAUAGGCAGCGGGAGUAACUCUGACGGCCCGCCGAGCCUCGGGCUCCAGCGUGGCGGCCGUCCCUCUGGCCGGGAUGGGCAGGGCAGGCUCCCAGCUCUUCUCCCCCAGCCUUAUCACCGGAGCUGGGCUAGCUCUCCAAAACAUAUUUUAUUUACACUUCAGUCUUCAACUGCACAUCAGAGAGCCUCUCACUACAUCUGGGCUGCUUCAGCCACUGCAGUCCAUCAAACGUUUAAGAAGGCACAGAAAGAUAAGAAAUUAUGUGGGCGAGAUGCUGGUCUGGGAGCCUGGAGGCCUUGGGAGCGCUCCAGCCUCAGCCGCCGG